CUCCCCACAGCGGAGCCCCCCCGGACCCCCCAAGCACCCCAUGGAGGAACGCAGCCGCCUUCUGGAUCCUGGGGCUCUGUAACAACCUCCCCUAUGUGCUGAUGCUGAGCGCGGCGCGGGACAUCGUGGAGCUCCAGCAGGGGGCGCCGGUGCCCCAUAGCAAACAGCUCUCGCUAUGACUGCAACCAGCUCUCGACUGGGGCCGUGCUCCUCGCCGACGUCCUCCCCUCGCUGCUCAUGAAGCUCCUGGCGCCGCUCGCACCCCAUUGGCUGAGCUACGAG